rnacentral:lncRNA from 1 species
ACUCUGGACACCAAAGUUUGGUGGAACUUCCUGGUUGGUGAACACAUCCAUGUGCCAGGAGGGUGACACGGCCUAAUUCACAGAGAGAUGACACAGAAGCUCUGCAUGGGAGACCGGCCUUACCUGUGUCUUCAUUAGUCCAGUCCUCCUGAUUUGUAUCCUUUGUAACAAGCCUAUAAUCAACUUUCUCAGUUGUGUGUGUGAAUACGCCUGGCUUUUCAUCAAACAGCUUUGCCAUCUUGGUGCUUACUUUACUGUGAGCACAGCAAUAAAUGGAUUCUGCAGAACAAAUGACCGGGAGAAAGGACUUUGUGCUCCUUCACCUCAGAAACCUGAACUCAGAAUUUCCUUGCUGACACUUUUCAGGCUUUUGUUUGCUGGAGACUGGAGUUCCCUGAGAGGAUUAAGGGUGUGGUUGGGAGUGUCUAAAGGAGCCCAGUGCCUUGAGGGCAGCCAAGAAGACAGAGUCCCUGGACUGGAUAGCAGCUGAGGUAGGUGGAUCCCUCUGGGGUGGAGACCUUUCCCAGCUCCGCAGCCCCAGGCGUGUCAAGGGCUGUCAAGGCCUCAGAGGAGACCAGCUGCCUCUGCACCUCAGGAAGCUGUAUCCUGACACCUGGACUCCAGAGUGCACAAAUAAAAGGAGCACUUGCCUUUGGGAGACCUCAGGAUGUUGACAAUGAGAACAUCAUGGAUGGGCGCGGUGGCUUGCUCCUGUAAUCCCAGCACUUUGGGAGGCCAAGGCAGGUGGAUCACC